UACGGGGGGAGCAAGCGUUGUUAGGAUUUACUGGGCGUAAAGGGCGCGUAGGCGGCGUGACAAGUCACUUGUGAAAUCUCCGGGCUUAACUCGGAACGGUCAAGUGAUACUGUCGUGCUAGAGUACAGAAGGGGCAACUGGAAUUCUCGGUGUAGCGGUGAAAUGCGUAGAUAUCGAGAGGAACACCUGCGGCGAAGGCGGGUUGCUGGGCUGAUACUGACGCUGAGGCGCGAAAGCCAGGGGAGCGAACGGG
rnacentral:rRNA from 1 species